rnacentral:rRNA from 1 species
AUUGAACGCUGGCGGCAGGCCUAACACACGCAAGUCGAGCGAGCGGCGGACGGGUGAGUAACGCCUGGGAAUUGACCGGUCGCGGGGGAUAACAGUUGGAAACGACUGCUAAUACCGCAUACGAUUGGAUUGCCCAGGUGGGAUUAGCUAGUUGGUGAGGUAAUGGCUCACCAGGGCGACGAUCCCUAGCUUGUCUGAGCGGAUGGUCAGCCCCACGGGAACUGAGGCACGUUCCAGACUCCUACGGGAGGCAGCGGUGGGGAAUAUUGGACAAUGGGGGAAACCCUGAUGCCGCCAUGCCGCGUGUGUGAGGGAGGCCGUCGGGUUGUAAAGCACUUUCAGCGAGGAGGCGUUACUCGCAGAGGAGGCACCGUCUAACUCCGUGCCAGCAGCCGCGGUAAUAC